UCGGCGUCUUCGGUCAAUGUUUGGCGUCUUCCAGCUGUGGAUUAUGUUUUUCCGCCAUAUAUUAUUGAAAACAGACAUGCUCUUUACAGAAAAGAAUUGCCAGCUCCUUCUUAUUGGGUUGAUGCUCAACCCUUUCAAGCCACUGUCUUGAUUUUAAUACUUCUAACAUGUAUUGUGGGUUGUGGCAUGAUGUGGUGUUUGGAAAAGGUCAAGAUCAAUCCAGAUCUCAUACAGCAACAUGGAGAUAAACCCGACACAAUACACGUAAUCGUGUUCUAUGUGAUAGGAAUUGCUCUUAGUCAAGGUAUUACAAUGAGGGCCUAUUCACACAGAAGCCGAAUCUUUAUCGCCGCUUUUUGGAGUUUAAGUGUCGUGAUCGGGUCCAUUUACAGAGCUAAUUUCGUGGCUAUAUUAACGGCCUCUAAAACGGUUGCACCAUUCAACACUCCAGAAGAAAUGAUAAACAGCAGUUACACAUUGGGUGCAAUUGCAAAUACUUCUAUGUUACAGAGUCUUAAGAAUGAAAAAGUACCAAUCUAUAGAAAGAUAUACCAAAAACUGAUCAACGAUGGAUAUUUGACUAAAGAACGUGACACACAACUACGAAAGAUUUUACAGGGAAAUCACGUGUUCUUCACGGAAUCGACUUCCACUGCCGAGUUUUAUUCUCAAAACUGUGAUGUUGUACGCUUUGAAUUCGAUCUGUAUACAGUCAUGUACGCCCUUGCUACACCAAAAAUAUCGCCCAUACGACAUGACCUAGAACGAGUCAUGAGGCAUCUGGAUGAAUCUGGAAUACUAAACAUGUUAUUCAAGAAAUGGCUGCCUCAUCGAAAGGAGGGGUUUUGUGAUGACCGCAUGAAGACAAAGCAACUCCAGUUUACUGAUAUUUAUGGGGUUUUGAUUUUGCUAAGUUGUUGUGUGGUCGUCUGUUGCCUUGUAUUGUGUAUGGAAAGAUUGGGAUUUACUGUUAUGAAAGCUAGAUCACGAACAACAAGACGAUAAAAUCAGUAUCGAAUCUGGAUUCCAGAGAUUACCUUACCUUUCGUUCAUCUCUGGUAACCGCUUGCUUCUUUGGUCAUCCCCUAUACUUCAGUGGACGAGGGCGUUCGGCAAAACCAAGGCCCUACGUACACGUUAUAAUACCAUUGCCAGUUAGAAGCCCUUCAUAGCACACUGCACGCCAUAUGCUUUAUAAGUGCUUUAUCGACUGUGUUAAUUGAACGAAUUUUAAUAAAAUAUAGAUAAAUAUUUAGAGGCGACUUCAGCGGAACAGUAUAAUUAUUCAAUUGUGUUACAUUCUGUUAAUUGAGCAAACAUUUACCACCAAUUGCCACUGCCAUCUAUUGAACACAAACAGUAGGUUUAAAUUUUUCG